AAUGAACGUUGGCGGCAUGGAUUAGGCAUGCAAGUCGAGCGAGAAGUGUAGCAAUACACGGAAAGCGGCGGAAGGGAGAGUAAUACGUGGGAAUCUGCCCUUAGACCUGGGAUAGCAGCGGGAAACUGCUGGUAAUACCAGAUAAUGUCUAUGGACCAAAGGUGUGAUUCCGUCUAGGGAUGAGCCCACGUCCUAUUAGCUAGUUGGUAGGGUAAUGGCCUACCAAGGCGAUGAUGGGUAGCGGGUGUGAGAGCAUGACCCGCCUCACUGGGACUGAGACACUGCCCAGACACCUACGGGUGGCUGCAGUCGAGAAUCUUCGGCAAUGGGCGCAAGCCUGACCGAGCGAUGCCGCGUGCGGGAUGAAGGCCUUCGGGUUGUAAACCGCUGUCGAGGGGGAGCAACUUCCAUAGAGUUAUCUUUAUGGAUUGAGUGAUCCCUGGAGGAAGGACGGGCUAAGUUCGUGCCAGCCGCCGCCGUAAGAC
rnacentral:rRNA from 1 species